rfam:Oryza sativa Japonica Group DNA, chromosome 7, cultivar: Nipponbare, complete sequence.
UUUUUUUUUUAUAACAGCCGAUACAAUUGGAACGAUACAGAGAAGAUUAGCAUGCCCCUGCACAACGUAUGAAUUCGAUUAGGUUUCUU